rnacentral:pre_miRNA from 1 species
AAUAAGAUCAUUUUUUAGUUUUUUGAUAUAAUGUUUUGACUUUUCGUCUUAUUUGAAAUUUUUUUGCGAUUAAUAUUUUUAUUCUUACUAGAUGAUAAAAUAUAAAUAGUACUUUAUGCAUGACUAAUUUUUUUAAGUUUUUGUGUAAAUUUUUUAAAUAAGACGAAUGGUCAAACGUUGGACAUGAAAAACAAAAAAUAAAGUUAUU